rnacentral:rRNA from 1 species
GAUGAACGCUGGCGGCGUGCUUAACACAUGCAAGUCGAACGGAAAGGCCCAAGCUUGCUUGGGUACUCGAGUGGCGAACGGGUGAGUAACACGUGGGUGAUCUGCCCUGCAUUUCGGGAUAAGCCUGGGAAACUGGGUCUAAUACCGGAUAGGACCCCAUUUUGGAUGGUGUGGUGGAAAGCUUUUCGGUGUGGGCUGAGCUGGCGGCCUAUCAGCUUGUUGGUGGGGUAAUGGCUUACCAAGGCGUCGACGGGUAGCCGGCCAGUGAGGGUGUACGGUCACCUUGAGUCUGAGGGGAGGCCGAGGCUGCGACGGGAGGCAGACGUGGGGAAGAUUGCACAAGGGACGCAAGCCUGGUGCAGCAAGGCCGCGGGGGGGAUGACCGCCUUCGGGUUGUAAACUCCUAUCGGUAGGGACGAAGCGUGAUGUGACGGUACCUGGAGAAGAAGCACCGGCUAACUACGUG